ACUGCAAACAUUCAGUAGAAGUUAGUUUUCAUCCCCACCUCUUUUAAAUGUGCAUAUCUUCACUGGAAUACUUGCUUGCCAUAUACUAACCUGUGACUGAUCAAAUGUAAUUGCUGAAUGAAUAACUAUCUCAUAGUUAUAAAGUUAAUGGAAAUACGUGAAAGCAUCUGAUGUACUGCUGACGCUCAAUAACUGAAAUGACUUAGCAUAACAACUAGCAGUCAAUAAAUAUUAGUGAUAUGAAUGUUGAACCUUAUCUGAGAUCAAGUCUCCUUCCCCUAUAUGUAGAGUUAAUGAAAUGGUGGAAAUGGCUAGAAAAAUAAUUAUCUCAAUUUGGACACCUGAUUCAUAUUAAUACAUUUUAAGGAACAGACACAAAGAUGAAAAUAAAUUGAAAAAGAAAAUACAACUGUUUAUAAACUGUUUACAAACUUUGGGCCCCAAAACAGACAAAAAUAACAUCAGCAUCAAAAAAUAUACAAGUUAGAACAAAUGAAAGAUUUUAUUACUGUUUGUAUUCGUGA
rnacentral:lncRNA from 1 species